CAUCAGCCUUAUGGGCCAGCAGUAGGAUAUCCUCCGGCCUAUGGGGCACCUUAUGGUCAACCACUGCCUCCUCAUCAAGGUUAUCCAGCAUCAGCACCGCCACUACCAUCAUCUCAACCUCCUGGCUUCCCACCGCCCUCAGACUCAGCUUAUCCUCCUCCUGGUCCCGGAGGUUAUCCACCACCCUCGGCCUCAGGUUAUCCUCCUCCCGCACCUUAUCCACCACAACAACAACCUGGUUUCUGGAGGUGAUGAUUUUGAAGAUUUAUAUUUAUGUCGUUUCACAUUAAAUGAAGCGCAAAAUGAGGAACACAAAUUGAAUGGCAAC
rnacentral:lncRNA from 1 species